rnacentral:lncRNA from 1 species
GUUUUUGGAAGGCAUCAGGUGUGUCCAUGACCUCACCUCAACUGUGGCCAUCCUCACCUGGUGUUCCCAUUAUCUAAACAAAGUCCAACAGCCACAAGAGUUGCACAAGCCCUCAGGAAGCUGGAACUUGCCUCCUGCAAGAAAUGCACAUUAAUAGCGGCUUCUUCCCUGAGGAAGGUUUUGAACUGGAGUACUUGAGAAGAAACUUACAACAGAGCAGCCUAAAGUGCCACCCAGUCCCUUUUAAUUAGCACAUAGCAGACCUCUUACAUUUUUGUUGGCUGCUAACGUACUAAGCGUUUUUUGGCAGCAUGCGGUUCUGGAUUGAAGCCAUGCAUGCAAGUCUUCCACAUUGUGCUCUUUUCCCAGCAUGUUCCCCAGGACAUUGGAAGAAGAGAAAAGCUGAAUCAGUUUGGAAAAACAUAAAUAUUUCUGAACGUGUGGACAGUUCUCACUUCUCAUGUGUGGGAGGAAUAUUUCACUGCCCUCCUACCCAUCACUCAAAUGUCCCGAUCAAGUUAUUGAAAUAAAUUAUCUUAAAGAAUAAUUAUCUGACAAGAAUUCUUUUCCUGUCUCAAAAAGCACAUCUACUACCCUAUAAGCUUUUUUACCUACAUAGCUUACACACAGGCUGAUUUCAAUAAAUAAACUGGAUGAUGCCUAAAUCCUCUG